AAACAUGCUAGAUUGACAUGUGUAACACAUGGGAGUUAUCAGGGCCACCAGUCUUUGAAGGACAGACUGAGUCGGUAGUAUAAUACUCCAACAUUC
rnacentral:snoRNA from 1 species